AUUCAAUGCAGGGCAAGGGAGAGCAUCGAAACAUGAAAUGUUCCAAUGCUCAUAUCAGAAGGCCUGCCUGGGUGAAAACACGGUUAUGUCCGUGUUCAGCUCUGAACCUGGACAACCCCUUUAGCCUGGAUAACCCCUUCA